GUAGGUCAAUUUCAUUUUUAUCCUCAGGUUCUCCGUCUGUAAGAUAAUAUGCCGAACUAGAAGAUUUCUAAAUUCUUUUUAAACUCUAAGCUGGAUGAUGAUCAUUAGUACUAACAUUAAUAUUAUUCUUGUUAAUUUACAUUAAUGUCAAUAAUAUUAAUGAAACCACACAUUAACUGACCUCUGUAGAAUGUUACUUAGUAUAUGCCAAGGAAUGCUCUAAGCAUUUUACAGGAAUUGUCUCUUUUCAUCCUCACAGUAGUUCAAGAGAUAGAAUGUGUUUUCAUCCUAAAUUCCUCUAGAAAAUGAAAACAUUUUCUGCAUCUAUACUGUCCAAUGUGGGAGUUACUAGGCACAUAUGACUAUUUAAGUUACAAUUAAAUUAAAUUAAAUUAAAACUUCAGUUCCUCAGUCAAGCAGGAAGUACAAUGAAGCAACAUCAUUAUAGAGGUUAAGUAGCAUAUCUAAGAUUACAUGUGGAUCAUACAUGAUUCUCAGACUGAGUUUUUGGACUAGUGCUGAAUUUCAUGCAUGAACCCAGUUGUCGAAAGAGAAAGAACUUAAGAGAGGAAGAAACAUUAAGUUCUUUCCAUGUAAAGCUCUGUAGUGUUUCAAAAAAGUCAGAGGUAGCCACCAGCAAAUGACCUCAAGUGAGCAGACAUUUAAUGAGAUCACGUUAGCGCCAGGCACUGUUUCACUUUGUGUUACCAGGGACACAGUGAUGAGUGUCUCCAGAGAGCUGUAGUUUUCUAUGGGAAGCUGGACACAUAUACUUAUUACAAAGCAGCAAAAAACUGAUAUCCUAAAAGAGAUUCAAGCAACCAGUCUGAGGGCCGUAAGAACCCAACCAGGGGUGUCCCUACAAUACACACAUCAAUGUCUUGUUGUUCUGGUCAUUUAAACACUCCUUGGUCCUUCGAACAGUCCUAGACAAUGUGAACAGUGCCAGGAAAAAACAUACAAACUGUUGUUGCAGGACCCUGCUUUGACAUUGGCUGACAUCUAGUUAACCUCACAAUAAUAAAGCCACAUAGACACACAGUGCGGAAGCAGCUAACAGUCUCAAUGAAAAAUUAGGUUUUCCAUUUCUAACUUUCAGGGGUUAUUCAAAGUGUGAGAGAAGUGAGGGGAGUGGGGGAAAGACAUUCACGAAAAUUGAUGAGGAGCAUUUGGGCUGGAGCCUUUUGGAAUCUGCUCCCAGGCUGGCCCAGCCUGCCCCUGGUGCCUUUGAAGUGAGUUACCUGGAUGGUGAGCUAAGCCAUGCCUGGCAGAACAGGCAGGAGGCUGUGUGGUCUGGCAAAGAACUGAGUAGAGGGAAGAGGGACUGAGCCUAAGUCUGCGGCUGACUCACAACACUUCUCAUGCCAGCAUUUCACCAUGUGGUCCAGCUAGAAAAUUAGAAGAAGCCCAAGUUAGGAUCACACCAAGAAAUCCAAAUGUCCUUCAGGGGCAUAAACAAGGCAGCCCUCCUGCUCUCUUAGGCCUCUUUCUCUGUGUGCGUUCCUCUUUUAGCCUUGAGACUAUUUGUCUUCUUCCUUUCCUCAUGAGUGCUCUUCAGGGCUUGAGUUUGGUCUCUGCCAUUUGUCACUGUGGCCAGGUACAAGUGGUCAGAGUGCAUAGGGCCCUACCGUCUGCUACUCCAGGCUGUCUUUUACCUUUCCUUUUAAGUUCAAGUGAAAUCUGGGUUUCUGCUGUGUUUGGAGUGGUGUGUCUGAGUGGGCCUUUACCGCUCUUCCUUGACAACAAAAAAGUCAGGGGAAGAGAGAAGAAUAAAAAAUGCUUUUGAUCUGGCAAGGGCCUUGCAAGGGCUCUAGUUCUGUCUGUUGCUGGAGCAACAGCGGGGAUUUUUAAAAAAUAGGUACUUUUGGUACAGGAAUAAAGAACAACAACAACAACAACAACAAAUCACCCCUUUAAAGUGAGUACUUUUCUCUGGCCUUGGAUUCUAUCCCCCUCACCCCCAGGUUCUCAGGCCAGACUUCUCCCACUUUUCUACCAUUGAUUUCAGUGGAGGAAGAACUUGGAAUGGGCAAGAUAACCUGAAAAGCCAAAGCUCUUUGAUAUUUUGUGAAUUUUGUGCAUCCCCAUCUCCCUGUCCUUUGAGUCAGAGACCACAUUCUUGAGUGAGAACAGGGUCCAGGCAGAUGAUGAAAGGCCUGAAAAGAGCCUGCUAAUUCUUUUUUUUUUGGUACCGGGGAUCAAACUCGGGUCCUUGCACUUGCACAGCAGGCGGUGGAACCACUGAGCUAAAUCCCCAGCCAAGAGCCUGCUGAUUCUUAGAUCCUCAGCCCUGGAUAAUUUUCAGAUGACUAAAUGAAAAUAAAAAAAUUCACAAUGGAUCAAGAUUCAUGUUCAUGAAGAGAGCACCUAUGUGGGCCUAGUUUAUCCAAUCAGCCACAGAAGUGUCCUCAUCCUCACUCCUCGGCAUUGUCAGUCAGAUGGAGACAUUGUGUAGUGGAGAAGGAAAGACCAGACUAUGAUUGCCUUUCUGAGACCUGGUAGGACUAUGCAAGUGCCUGUGGAGGUGAAGUCUGUCUUGUACCAGCAGUAGUCCCCUUGUUUUAACCUAUCAGAGAGCCCAAUAAUCACAGGAUUCUUCAGAGAUUCUUCAGGAUUCUUCAUGUCCUUGAUGCCAUGCACAGACCUGCCUGUGACCAUAAACUCAAUAAGAGCUGAGACUGUGCCUUAUUUAUCUAGCACCUACACUGCCUUACGCAAGUCAACACUUAAUAAAUGUUUUUGAAAUGAAAUUGGUCAUCAUAAUAAUAGUGAACAUUUAUUUUAUUUUAUUUUAUUUUUUUGGUACUGGGGAUCGAACUAGGGACCUUACGCUUGCGAGGCAGGUGCCAGAACCACUGAGCUAAAUCUCCAGCCCCUUGAACAUUUAUUAAUUGCUCUCUGUAUGCCUGUCAUAUAGAACACACCCCAUGCCUUUAGCUGUCCCCAUGACCAUCUCAUUUGACAGAUGGGGAAACUGAGGCCUGAGGAGGUGAAACUGAUUUUCUUAGUGAUACAAACAGCAAGUGAUAGAGUUUUGAAGAGAAGAACAACUUCUGCCUUCACAUCCUGGGCCUUGUCUUUUAUACAGGUUGUUGGUAGCAAGCCCCUUACCAGAGCCUCUUUCUUUUCCUUCCUUUCAGCCUCCCCAAGGUUCCCAGUGGUGCUACUUUCCCCCCUGCUCCUUUCCCUGUCCUUUUUCUGAAGGGAGGAAAAAGUUUGCAGAACUUUUAUGUUGGAGCAGGGCCACCUGGGUCAUCAGAAAGAAGGGAAUGGAAUUAAUAGGAGAAAAUGAAGACAUGGAAACAAAGUCUUUGUAAAUAGGGAGGGGUGGAGGGGUUGAAGGGAAGGCAGGGGAAGG
ensembl:lncRNA